rnacentral:misc_RNA from 1 species
GAAAUGCGAUAAGUAAUGUGAAUUGCAGAAUUCAGUGAAUCAUCGAAUCUUUGAACGCACCUUGCGCUCCUUGGUAUUCCUUGGAGCAUGCCUGUUUGAGUAUCAUGAAAUCUUCAAAGUAAAUCUUUUGUUAACUCAAUUGGUUUCUACUUUGGUAUUGGAGGUCUUUGCAGCUUCACACCUGCUCCUCUUUGUUCAUUAGCUGGAUCUCAGUGUUAUGCUUGGUUCCACUCGGCGUGAUAAGUUAUCUAUCGCUGAGGACACUGUAAAAGGUGGCCAAGGUAAAUGCAGAUGAACCGCUUCUAAUAGUCCAUUGCCUUGGACAAUACUUUUAUGAUCUGAUCUCAAAUCAGGUAAGACUACCCGCUGAACUUAAGC